rnacentral:rRNA from 1 species
UACAGAGGGGGCAAGCGUUGUUCGGAAUUACUGGGCGUAAAGGCGCGUAGGCGGCCUUCUAAGUCGAACGUGAAAUCCCCGGGCUCAACCCGGGAACUGCGUCCGAUACUGGAAGGCUUGAAUCCGGGAGAGGGAUGCGGAAUUCCAGGUGUAGCGGUGAAAUGCGUAGAGAUGUGGAGGAACACCGAUGGCGAAGGCAGCCCCCUGGGAUAAGACUGACGCUCAUGUACGAAAGCGUGGGGAGCAAACAGGAU